UAAUAUCUAUAUUUUAUAUUUUAAGAUAGAUGUUUAAAUCUUAAUAUACUUUUUCCAUUGUUUUUAAGUUGUGUAUUUCUUUUUCUUAUACUUUUUAUUUACUUAAUAUCUAUAUUUUACAUUUUAAGAUAGAUGUUUAAUAUUUAAUGUACUCUUUCCAUUUUUUAAAAAUUGUGCAUGUACUUAUUAUUGUAUAUAUAAUUCGUAUAUUUAUAUAUUUAUAAUAUUUACUUAUUAUUUAUUUUUAUAUAUAUUGAGUAUUUCUCUUUCUUAUACUUUAUAUUUAGUUAAUAUCUAUAUUUUAUAUUUUAAGAUAGAUGUUUAAAUCUUAAUGUAUUUUUACAUUAUUAAUGUAAAACGACAAUGUUUAAUAGAAGAACUUGGACAAAUAGUCAAAUAGUUAUAUUUAUGUUUUUUUUUUCUUUUUUUAUAAAAUGGUAAUGUUACAUUAUGGAGAUAAGCCGUUUUUUUUAGUGAAAAAUGGAAAUCUUACAUAUAUUUAAUGUAGUUUUUCCAUUUUUUUAUGUUGUAUGUUUACAUAUUAUUGUUAUUCUUAAAUAUAAAAUGGUAAUCUUACAUAUGUUUAAUGUAGUAUUUCCAUUUUUUUUAUGUUGUAUGUUUACAUAUUAUUUAUUAUUUUCGAAAUUAUAUAUAAUGUUUUUUUUUGCAAAAUAGUAAUUUUACAUUAUGGAGAUAAACCGUCUUUGUUUUAGUGAAAAAUGGUAAUCUUACAUAUGUUUAAUGUAGUUUUUCUAUUUUUAUGUUGUAUGUUUACAUAUUAUUAUUUUUUAAAUUAAAAAUGUAAAAUGGUAAUCUUACAUAUGUUUAAUGUAGUAUUUCCAUUUUUUAUGUUGUAUGUUUACAUAUAUUUAUUAUUUUCGAAAUUAUAUAUAAUGUUUUUUUGUUUUUUUAUAUAAAAUGGUAAUGUUACAUUAUGGAGAUAAGCCGUCUUUUUUUCAAAUGAAAAAUGGUAAUCUUACAUAUGUUUAAUGUAGUUUUUCUAUUUUUUAUGCUGUAUGUUUACAUAUUAUUUAUAAUUUGCGAAAAUUAGUAAUAUUAAAGUGUAAAACUAUAUUUUAUGCCACGUGUCAUCUUUUGGGAGAAGUUUUUUUUGCUGAUGUGGACGCUCUAUGGAGCCUCCAAAGGUCCCUUUUAUUAGUAAGUACUCUUUCCAUUUUUUAAAAAUUGUGCAUGUACUUAUUAUUGUAUAUAUAAUUCGUAUAUUUAUAUAUUUAUAAUAUUUACUUAUUAUUUAUUUUUAUAUAUGUUGAGUAUUUCUAUUUCUUAUACUUUAUAUUUAGUUAAUAUCUAUAUUUUAUAUUUUAAGAUAGAUGUUUAAAUCUUAAUGUAUUUUUACAUUAUUAAUGUAAAACGGCAAUGUUUAAUAGAAGAACUUGGACAAAUAGUCAAAUAGUUAUAUUUAUGUUUUUUUUCUUUUUUUAUAAAAUGGUAAUGUUACAUUAUGGAGAUAAGCCGCUUUUUUUUAGUGAAAAAUAGAAAUCUUACAUAUAUUUAAUGUAGUUUUUCCAUUUUUUUAUGUUGUAUGUUUACAUAUUAUUGUUAUUCUUAAAUAUAAAAUGGUAAUCUUAAAUAUGUUUAAUGUAGUAUUUCCAUUUUUUUUAUGUUGUAUGUUUACAUAUUAUUUAUUAUUUUCGAAAUUAUAUAUAAUGUUUUUUUUGCAAAAUAGUAAUUUUACAUUAUGGAGAUAAAUCGUCUUUUUUUUAGUGAAAAAUGGCAAUCUUACAUAUGUUUAAUGUAGUUUUUCUAUUUUUAUGUUGUAUGUUUACAUAUUAUUAUUUUUUAAAUUAAAAAUGUAAAAUGGUAAUCUUACAUAUGUUUAAUGUAGUAUUUCCAUUUUUUAUGUUGUAUGUUUACAUAUAUUUAUUAUUUUCGAAAUUAUAUAUAAUGUUUUUUUGUUUUUUUAUAUAAAAUGGUAAUGUUACAUUAUGGAGAUAAGCCGUCUUUUUUUCAAGUGAAAAAUGGUAAUCUUACAUAUGUUUAAUGUAGUUUUUCUAUUUUUUAUGCUGUAUGUUUACAUAUUAUUUAUAAUUUGCGAAAAUUAGUAAUAUUAAAGUGUAAAACUAUAUUUUAUGCCACGUGUCAUUUUUUGGGAGAAGUUUUUUUUGCUGAUGUGGACGCUCUAUGGAGCCUCCAAAGGUUGUAUGUUUACAUAUUAUUGUUAUUCUUAAAUAUAAAAUGGUAAUCUUAAAUAUGUUUAAUGUAGUAUUUCCAUUUUUUUUAUGUUGUAUGUUUACAUAUUAUUUAUUAUUUUCGAAAUUAUAUAUAAUGUUUUUUUUGCAAAAUAGUAAUUUUACAUUAUGGAGAUAAAUCGUCUUUUUUUU
rnacentral:lncRNA from 1 species